UACGUAGGGGGGCAAGCGUUGUCCGGAUUUAUUGGGCGUAAAGAGCGUGUAGGCGGCCAGACAGGUCCGUUGUGAAAACUGGAGGCUCAACCUCCAGACGUCGAUGGAAACCGUCUGGCUAGAGUCCGGAAGAGGAGAGUGGAAUUCCUGGUGUAGCGGUGAAAUGCGCAGAUAUCAGGAAGAACACCCGUGGCGAAAGCGGCUCUCUGGGACGGUACUGACGCUGAGGAGCGAAAGCGUGGGGAGCGAACAGG
rnacentral:rRNA from 1 species